GAAAAGCCAUCAAAAGAAAUUUAAAUCUUAAUUAAUCUAAAUUGUUUGGCAGUGUUAUCUCCAGGCUACCUGAACUUCUGGAUAAUUCCAGGUUAACCUGGAAACUCCUGAGUGUCCUGGCUCAAUUCUCUCUGCCUUUAAAAUAAGAUGUAUUGGGAGAUGGAUGAGGCAGGCCAGGAGAGGAGAGGGGAUUUCACCAAUGGAAGAUUCCAGAAAGGGGCCAAGACACGGGAAGCUGCGGGGCAGACAGCGAAUACGUUUUCUGGUGAAAUCAGAGAUUCACAUGGACUGCAUGGAAAACCUGUGGGGUAGGAAACCGACUCCCCACCUCAAACAGGAUCUCAGGGAAUCUGAUGGGUGAGUCUUAGAACAGAUAGAUGCUCACAGUCCCCAUUUUAUGCUUCUUUUAGAAAAUGGUAUUUAACAGCCCAGAGACUUGUCACGUGAUGCAGGAAGCACACACCAUCCGGGCCCCUCAGGUACAUCUUCCUUCCCCAGGACAAACCCUACUUAGCAUGGAGGAGUUAACAAAAUCACAGCCCAAGAUGGUAUGACAGCAGCUUGAUUAAUAACGAUUAUCACAGCAGAUGGAAAACUGUAGACAAACUUUCCAUAGAAUGAGUCUACCACAAAAUUUCUUGAUGAGACAGAAGGAUGGUUAGCGACCACAGACUUAUUCCUUACUGAACGGAAUAAAAUUGCUGAAUUUCUACUCACCCCUUUUGAUAAUUUUCACAGAUCUCCAGUGGCUUACAUUU
rnacentral:lncRNA from 1 species